ensembl:snRNA U1 U1 spliceosomal RNA
AUACUUACCUGGCAGGGGUGACACCAUGAUCAAGAAGGUGGUUUGCCCAAGGCGAGGCUCUGUCAUUGCACCCUGACCGUGCUGACCCUUGUGAAUUCCCCAAAUGUGGGAAUCUCAACUGCAUAAUUUGUGGUAGUGGGGGACUGCGUCCGCGCUCUCCCCUG